AGCGAACGCUGGCGGCAGGCCUAACACAUGCAAGUCGAACGGACCCUUCGGGGUCAGUGGCGGACGGGUGAGUAACACGUGGGAACGUGCCCUUUGGUUCGGAAUAGCUCCUGGAAACGGGUGGUAAUGCCGAAUGUGCCCUUCGGGGGAAAGAUUUAUCGCCAUUGGAGCGGCCCGCGUCUGAUUAGCUAGUUGGUGAGGUAAAGGCUCACCAAGGCGACGAUCAGUAGCUGGUCUGAGAGGAUGAUCAGCCACAUUGGGACUGAGACACGGCCCAAACUCCUACGGGAGGCAGCAGUGGGGAAUCUUGCGCAAUGGGCGAAAGCCUGACGCAGCCAUGCCGCGUGAAUGAUGAAGGUCUUAGGAUUGUAAAAUUCUUUCACCGGGGACGAUAAUGACGGUACCCGGAGAAGAAGCCCCGGCUAACUUCGUGCCAGCCGCCGCCGUAAGAC
rnacentral:rRNA from 1 species